UGGGGAAUCUUGCACAAUGGGGGCAACCCUGAUGCAGCGACGCCGCGUGAGCGAUGAAGCCCUUCGGGGCGUAAUGCUCUUUCGACCGGAACGAUAAUGACGGUACCGGGAGAAGAAGCUGCGGCUAACUACGUGCCAGCAGCCGCGGUAAUACGUAGGCAGCAAGCGUUGUUCGGAGUUACUGGGCGUAAAGAGUGCGUAGGCGGUUUUCUAAGUUCGGUGUGAAAUCUCCCGGCUUAACUGGGAGGGUGCGCCGAAGACUGGGAUGCUGGAGUGUGGGAAAGGCAGGCGGAAUUCCUGGUGUAGCGGUGAAAUGCGUAGAUAUCAGGAGGAACACCGGCGGUGUAGACGGCUUGCUAGACCAUAACUGACGCUGAGGCACGAAAGCGUGGGUAGCAAACA
rnacentral:rRNA from 1 species